rnacentral:lncRNA from 1 species
GAUAUGGGCGUACGAGGAUAUCAGGCGCCUGCUCCAUGCGUAACGGCCUCUGAUUCUCCCCCGUGCGUAUGCUCGAGCGGAUCUGCCAGGCUGUAUGACGAGUCUCGUUCUGGAUCCUGGGCUGGGCCGAAAGCUGGGCUGGACGCGGAACCCAGGAGGAGAAGGAAUCCGUGGGGAGGUUAUACGGGCUGGGCCGAUCUCGAUUAGGAAGAAUCUGGUGGAGUCCGGCCUCAGGGGUCUGAUGGUCCGGGCCUGUUUACUUGAGAGAGCAUGCGGGCCUUCCUUUCAUGGGCCAUGGCCUUAAUCUAGGCCUAGGAUUGGGGAUAGGGAAAUCCAGCGGUCAUCAAUUGCCCCUUCACCUUCUUGGUAGUUAUUGCUCUGACUGCCGAGGGGGUGAAUAUCGAGAACCAUUAUGACCGCGUCUGUUCGCGUACAGAUGCCUUCAUAACUCCCUUUCAUCUUUUUGUCAUUCCUCAUUUCUUGAAUCCUAUCUGCCUCUUUUCCUUUCUGGCCUUUCCUUACCUCUCAGAUACUCUGCUCUUCUUUACUUCCUUGUCAUUAUCGCCUGGACAUGCUUCUUUUUCCUUUUCCAUGAAUAUCUUUUAAAGAUCCUGACAUCGUGGGCUUAGAGUCUAGAGUUACUUUGCGCUAAGACUUCAGAUUUUGAGUAUAUAUCAGUGUUGAUUCUUUUUCACUUCUAGGCCCUUUGUCGGAGAAAAUGAGUCUUUCCUUCCAGCGAGAUUCUCCUGUUUUUUCCGCAAAGGAUGUAUUUGACGCUUUCUUCAAACGGAUUAAGGUGAGCCGGGGGCUUCAUUGCUUUGUUGCCCCAGGGGUUUGCUUUAAUCUUGCUUUCAUUAUUUUGACAAAAGAUUAUCCUGACUUGUCUCUGUUUGGAACUUUUUGCAGUACCUGAGAUAAAGAUGGAUCAGUCCAAACCUCUUGAAAAUCUGAUAUUACCUCGAGGGAGUCUGAAUGUUGCUUCUGAGGUCCUUCUAGCAGGGCGGUUGAUGGGUGGAGUCAUUUGGCAGGUCGUUGAAACUGUUUUACCCAGAUCGUCUGGCUGGCCUNN